rnacentral:rRNA from 1 species
UGCCAUAUUGCGCAAUGGGGGCACCCCUGACGCAGCAACGCCGCGUGAAGGAUGAAGGUUUUCGGAUUGUAAACUUCUUUUAUUAAGGACGAAACUUGACGGUACUUAAUGAAUAAGCUCCGGCUAACUACGUGCCAGCAGCCGCGGUAAUACGUAGGGAGCAAGCGUUGUCCGGAUUUACUGGGUGUAAAGGGUGCGUAGGCGGCUUUGCAAGUCAGAUGUGAAAUCUAUGGGCUCAACCCAUAAACUGCAUUUGAAACUGUAGAGCUUGAGUGAAGUAGAGGCAGGCGGAAUUCCCCGUGUAGCGGUGAAAUGCGUAGAGAUGGGGAGGAACACCAGUGGCGAAGGCGGCCUGCUGGGCUUUAACUGACGCUGAGGCACGAAAGCGUGGGUAGCAAACAGGAUUAGAUACCCUGGUAGUCCACGCUGUAAACGAUGAUUACUAGGUGUGGGGGGUCUGACCCCUUCCGUGCCGGAGUUAACACAAUAAGUAAUCCACCUGGGGAGUACGGCCGCAAGGUUGAAACUCAAAGGAAUUGACGGGGGCCCGCACAAGCAGUGGAGUAUGUGGUUUAAUUCGAAGCAACGCGAAGAACCUUACCAGGUCUUGACAUCCAACUAACGAAGUAGAGAUACAUUAGGUGCCCUUCGGGGAAAGUUGAGACAGGUGGUGCAUGGUUGUCGUCAGCUCGUGUCGUGAGAUGUUGGGUUAAGUCCCGCAACGAGCGCAACCC